UGGGGAAUCUUGCACAAUGGGGGAAACCCUGAUGCAGCGAUGCCGCGUGAGUGAAGAAGGCCUUUGGGUUGUAAAACUCUUUCGUCGGGGAAGAAAAUGACUGUACCCGAAUAAGAAGGUCCGGCUAACUUCGUGCCAGCAGCCGCGGUAAUACGAAGGGACCUAGCGUAGUUCGGAAUUACUGGGCUUAAAGAGCUCGUAGGUGGUUAAAAAAGUUGAUGGUGAAAUCCCAAGGCUCAACCUUGGAACUGCCAUCAAAACUUUUUAGCUAGAGUGUGAUAGAGGUAAGUGGAAUUUCUAGUGUAGAGGUGAAAUUCGUAGAUAUUAGAAAGAACACCAAAUGCGAAGGC
rnacentral:rRNA from 1 species